rnacentral:rRNA from 1 species
ACUGCUCAGUAACACGUGGACAACCUGCCCUUAGGUUGGGUAUAAACCCGGGAAACUGGGUAUAAUACCCGAUAGGUCUCGAUUGCUGGAAUGCAUCGAGAUUUAAAGCUCCGGCGCCUAAGGAUGGGUCUGCGGCCUAUCAGGUAGUAGUGGGUGUAGCGUACCUACUAGCCUACGACGGGUACGGGUUGUGAGAGCAAGAGCCCGGAGAUGGAUUCUGAGACACGAAUCCAGGCCCUACGGGGUGCAGCAGGCGCGAAAACUUUACAAUGCUGGCAACAGCGAUAAGGGAACCUCGAGUGCCAGGUUACAAAUCUGGCUGUCGAGAUGCCUAAAAAGCAUUUCAUAGCAAGGGCCGGGCAAGACCGGUGCCAGCCGCCGCGGUAACACCGGCGGCUCGAGUGGUAACCGUUAUUAUUGGGUCUAAAGGGUCUGUAGCCGGCCGGAUAAGUCUCUUGAGAAAUCUGGCAGCUUAACUGUCAGGCUUUCAGGAGAUACUGUCUGGCUCGAGGCCGGGAGAGGUGAGAGGUACUUCAGGGGUAGGGGUGAAAUCUUGUAAUCCUUGAAGGACCACCAGUGGCGAAGGCGUCUCACCAGAACGGACCUGACGGCAGGGGACGAAAGCUAGGGGCACGAACCGGAUUAGAUACCCGGGUAGUCCUAGCCGUAAACGAUACUCGCUAGGUGUCGGCCACGGUGCGACCGUUGUCGGUGCCGUAGGGGAGCCGUGAAGCGAGCCACCUGGGAAGUACGGCCGCAAGGCUGAAACUUAAAGGAAUUGGCGGGGGAGCAC